rnacentral:lncRNA from 1 species
GAGAAAAGGCUUUGAUGGCCUUCCCCAGCACACACAAAAGAUGAGAGAUGAGAACGAGUUCAUCGCCCCCGGCUCCGCUAUUUUGCAGAGACUCAGAGAGAGUGGAGAACAGAAAUAAGGAGAAUAAGGCAUGCCUUGUGAUGGGACAAGAAGGGAGCCGAGGAGCACCGGGAAGACAAGGGAUACGAUGUUCAUCAGACUUGGCAUCUGAGGCUGUACUCCGUUUUCUGAAGAUAAGUUUCCUUUCACUUCUGGGUUCACCACUUCAGCCGGUUUUCCCUUGGCUCCCCUUCUUCCCUAUUGUUCACACUUGAUUGUUUGAAGAUUUAUCCUUUCCUGCCACCUUUUUUUUGCCUUAGUUUCCAC